AAGUGUCACUGAAUCACACCUUAUAUAGGUUCAAAAUAGGUUGAACGUUUCUACCAACUACCGGAAUAGUUGACUAUAAGGCUGGUUGGUAUUUUU
rnacentral:ncRNA from 2 species